AGUGUCCUCAGAGCUCCGGGAGUUGGCAAAGCUGAUGAAGGAGCAGUAGACAGCGACCCAAGCGCACCACUUCAGCUGGAAGAGAUCUGGUGGCAGCGACAGGAUCCAAAGUGAACCUGACAGCAUUCGGGGACAACGAGAAACAUAAGCAUGGUACCCAUGAACCCCUUUUUGAGUCCACUGUCUUUCUCGCCGUUUCUGGGGGCCAUGGCAGAUUAACCUCCUAUGAGAUCCUUCUGCUUCCACUACCUACUCAAUAUCUUAAAUGUUGCAACGUCCUUAACCCUGCUACAUCACCACCCCUGCCUGACAAAGGUUAAAGAAGCCUUCCCAGAUCCCAGUUCAAAGGAUUCUGUUGGUCACAGUCUGGAGCCUGGUGACUGGGUAUUAUGGAAAUGUCAUCAGAGGAAGACAGCCCUCAAGCCCAUUGGAAGGGAGCUCACCAAGUGCUCCUAACCACUGACACUGCUGCAAAACUAGAAGGCAUUGAGCCUUGGGUACACAUCUCACAGCUAAGAAAGGCUCCACCAGACAUCUAGUCCUGUACAGACGCUGGAGACCUCUGAAUCUAACUGAUGAGGAAGAGAAGCAGCUGACAUCAAGGUGGACUGCUUCUGUCCCGGACGCCAGCUAUAGACCAUACUUUAACUAAACGUGAAACCCUUCCUCCUUUUUCUUUUCUCUGCUCUGGUAUUGACCUGGAAAGAUGUUUUCACCCUUCUCUCUCAGGCCAUUGCUAAGGGAGGUGAGCUUUCAGACUGAUGGAUUUGUCAACAAAGAU